rnacentral:rRNA from 1 species
UUCUUCGGAGAUAGAGACCGGCGCACGGGUGCGUAACGCGUAUGCAAUCUACCUUUUACAGAGGGAUAGCCCAGAGAAAUUUGGAUUAAUACCUCAUAGUAUUAUAGAAUGGCAUCAUUUUAUAAUUAAAGUCACAACGGUAAAAGAUGAGCAUGCGUCCCAUUAGCUAGUUGGUAAGGUAACGGCUUACCAAGGCUACGAUGGGUAGGGGUCCUGAGAGGGAGAUCCCCCACACUGGUACUGAGACACGGACCAGACUCCUACGGGAGGCAGCAGUGAGGGAUAUUGGACAAUGGGCGCAAGCCUGAUCUAGCCAUGCCGCGUGCAGGAUGACGGUCCUAUGGAUUGUAAACUGCUUUUAUACGAGAAGAAACACUGCUUCGUGAAGCAGCUUGACGGUAUCGUAAGAAUAAGGAUCGGCUAACUCCGUGCCAGCAGCCGCGGUAAUACGGAGGAUCCAAGCGUUAUCCGGAAUCAUUGGGUUUAAAGGGUCCGUAGGCGGUUUAAUAAGUCAGUGGUGAAAGCCCAUCGCUCAACGGUGGAACGGCCAUUGAUACUGUUAAACUUGAAUUAUUAGGAAGUAACUAGAAUAUGUAGUGUAGCGGUGAAAUGCUUAGAGAUUACAUGGAAUACCAAUUGCGAAGGCAGGUUACUACUAAUGGAUUGACGCUGAUGGACGAAAGCGUGGGUAGCGAACAGGAUUAGAUACCCUGGUAGUCCCCGCCGUAAACGAUGGAUACUAGCUGUUGGAAGCAAUUUCAGUGGCUAAGCGAAAGUGAUAAGUAUCCCACCUGGGGAGUACGUUCGCAAGAAUGAAACU